rnacentral:rRNA from 1 species
AUUGAACGCUGGCGGCAUGCUUUGCACAUGCAAGUCGAACGGCAACGAGGAGAAGCUUGCUUCUCUGUCGGCGAGUGGCGAACGGGUGAGUAUAGCAUCGGAACGUGCCAAGUAGUGGGGAAUAACCAAACGAAAGUUUGGCUAAUACCGCGUAAGCUCCAAGGAGGAAAGUAGGGGACCUAAAUAAGGCCUUACGCUAUUUGAUCGGCCGAUGUCGGAUUAGCUAGUUGGUGGGGUAAUGGCUCACCAAGGCAAUGAUCCGUAGCGGGUCUGAGAGGACGAUCCGCCACACUGGGACUGAGACACGGCCCAGACUCCUACGGGAGGCAGCAGUGGGGAAUUUUGGACAAUGGGGGAAACCCUGAUCCAGCCAUGCCGCGUGUAUGAAGAAGGCCUUAGGGUUGUAAAGUACUUUUGUUAGGGAAGAAAAGCUAGUUUUUAAUAAAAAUUAGUGAUGACGGUACCUAAAGAAUAAGCACCGGCUAACUACGUG